rnacentral:rRNA from 1 species
AACGAACGCUGGCGGCAUGCCUAACACAUGCAAGUCGAACGAGACCUUCGGGUCUAGUGGCGCACGGGUGCGUAACGCGUGGGAACCUGCCUUUAGGUUCGGAAUAACUCAGAGAAAUUUGAGCUAAUACCGGAUGAUGUCUUCGGACCAAAGAUUUAUCGCCUUUAGAUGGGCCCGCGUAAGAUUAGCUAGUUGGUGGGUAAAGGCCUACCAAGGCGACGAUCUUUAGCUGGUCUGAGAGGAUGAUCAGCCACACUGGGACUGAGACACGGCCCAGACUCCUACGGAGGCAGCAGUGGGGAAUAUUGGACAAUGGGCGCAAGCCUGAUCCAGCAAUGCCGCGUGCAGGAUGAAGGCC